rnacentral:misc_RNA from 1 species
GGAAACAAUGAUAACUCAGGGGAAAAUGGGGUAAUGUGAGUCUUGAAAAUUGCUUGGAUAUGGCAGUCAGUAGGUGAGGCUUUCACAGUUGAGCCAGUUUCAGUGCCUCCAAAUUUAAUUUACACAAGCAAUUUCAGUUGCUUUACUGAAGAGUUCUUUACAUAUUAUUACAAUUUCACUUUUAGGGAUGAGAAUUUCCUACCU